GCCGCCUCGUCAGUGUUCCGCGACGGCGCCCUGCAAUUCGACUCGGCAGGCAGCCGCCCAAGCCGGCACACCACCAGAGACCAGACCGGCAGACCCCAUCCGCAGCCGCGAGCCAGCAGGCGCUCCUAACUCUUGCGGUCGCUGGUCCUGCCUCCUCUUCUUCCAGAGUUCCCGCUGCCCGGCGGCGGCGGCUGGCGCUGUGGCGCGGUGGCGUGGAGGUGGCCCCAGGGGCACGGCAAGUCUACGGCAUCCAGGCCCUGGGCCAAUCCGGCACGAGCGCACGGCGCUCGCCGCACGGCGGGUCCGUUCGCCAUUUGGCCCCUCUACACUGCGCUAGUGCAGUAGUGCUUUGCUUAGCACAGGUUAAUGGGUUGUUGGAAGAGCAGAGAGACUUAUAUCUCCAAUGAUCCUGUUGCGGUGGCCCAAAUGCACUGCUGAAUGGUUCAGGCACAGGAAGGUUUUACCCUGGGAAGUUCCUUCUUGCCCCUACUCCUUACUCGCUGCUUCAAUUCAGCAUGACGACUCAAGUGGUGAUGAAAGGCUGAAUUGUGCUCCUGAUAAUGAGCCUAUCCGGAAACGGCGGCGGUCUUUGAGCUCUGACAGUGUUGUGCAUGCACUCCGCUGCCUAAGGAGGAAGCCUGCUGUUGCCUUUGCCUACUUUAAAGAUAUACAUAGCCUUGGUUUUCAGCAUGACUUCUCAACCUACUCAGAGAUCAUACAAAUUUUAUCCCAUUCAUUCCAGGGGAAGAUGCUGGUAUCCUUGUUUUGUGAGAUUCUCUCGGGAACUGGUAAUGAUGGCCCCGAAGUCUUAACACUUAUUGAUCACUUGAGAAAAACAUGUGCUACUUCUCACGCCAUGUUAUAUAGUCGUCCGACUAAUCGCGAUUAGUCGCGAUUAGUCGACCUUAUCGCUCCGCUGGCUUCGAUAAGUGGAGCGACUAGCUUUUGUCGAUCAGAUAUUUGAUUGUCCGACUAAUCGUCGCCUAAUCGAGAUUAGGCGUCCGACUUGCUGCUUGGUCGAUCAGGUUGCCGGCCCCAAAAGUUGUCCAGCCUGCCGCCUGUACUGGGCUCAAUUAGGCCCAUUAGGGUUAACUAUAUAAAGCCACUUCUGUGCACCACGCUCCUCCGCUCGAGUGCUCGAGUCGAGCCGCCACCGCCGCCUGCAUCACGCCGCCGCCGUCGCUUGCGUCGUGCCGCCGCCGCCGCUCGCAUCACGCCGCUGCCCGACCGCCUGUGUCACGCCGCCCAGGUCACGCGGCCGCCAGCUCGCAUCAUGCCGUCGCCUGACCGCCUGCGUCACGUCGCCUGGCCGCCGCCCGCCGGCGUCUGAAGAUGAGCUCCUCCUCCGAUGAUUUCGAUGCACAGCGGCAAAGGCAGUUUCAGCAGCAGAACAACAAGGAUAUGGAGUGUGGGACAAGAAUAUGGAGUUCUGGACAGUUCAAACAUCAAAUCUCACAAGUAAGUGUCACCAAACUGACUAUCAUUGUGGUGUUCCUGCUUGCUAUCAUUGUGGUGUCCCAAGGGAGAUGUACCGUAGCGUAGCACUUCUCUUCCACUCCGUUAUUUUAAUCUUCCCUUCCCUGUGAUAAUAAAAUCCAUGUGUUGGUUCGCGACCCGAAGCAUGCUAAACUAUAACACCCCAAGUUUUUCAUCUUGGGUUGUUAUUCGAAAGAUUGCAAAAAAAAACCCAAGGAUUUAAAAGUUUUUCCAAAAAUGUGGCUUUAUAAAUUUCUUUGCAAAAAUAACAAAAGAGUGUUUAGAUUGUUUGCUUGUGCUUGCUCUUGCUUGUUGUGUUUGAGUAAGAAAAAUGAAUUUCCAAAAUUCUCUCCUAUCCUGAGUAGGCUUUGGGGCGAUUUCGGUUGCGAGAGUGGAAAGGAACGAAGCGGCGUUGGUGGUGCGGUUUAAGAAGGCUCGGGUACUCGCGCUAGAAGGAAGGGGAGCCUGGGAUUGCGAGAUUGGCGCGGGCGCCAUCAGCGGCAGCGUGUUCCAAAUUCGAACGGGAGGAGGGGAAUGGCACCCUGCCAUGCGGGCCCGGGGUGGCAGCGGCACAGAGCGCGGGGCCGGGCUGCCAGUCGAACAGAGGAGAAGGGGAAGGCUAAGAUGGGCCGGACGCUGGCGGCCCAAAAGGAGAGCAAGCGGGCCAGCGGCCAGGGAGAGGGAGAAAGGCCGGUGCGGGCUGGGAGAAAGAGAGCCAGGCCAACUGGGCCAGUUGGGCUGAAAGGAGGAAUAGAGUGAGGAGGGAAAAGAAAUGGGUUUUUCUUUUAUUUGAACAGCUUUUCAAAUGGAGUUUUCAAAUGGUUUUGAAAUCUUUUCAAGUUUGGAUCAAAACCAGUCAUCACAUAAAAUAAAUAUGCACCAGCAUGUAUGCUCAAGCAUGUUUCUAUGCCCUAUGAUGAAUUUUAAUAUAGAAUAAAAUAAAUUUUCAUCUAUGUUUUAUGAGCACAAAAUUCAUAAAUAAAUCAAUUUUCAUCUAUUUCAAGAAAUGCAAAUUUUAGGGUGUUACAAUUCUACCCCCCUUAAGAGGAAUCUCGUCCCGAGAUUCGAAAGAAGUUGAUCAAAGAGAUAAAGAUACUCCAUCUUCAAAUUCUUUGUUACUCCUCGUGUAUUCCCAAUUUCUCGAUAACGAUGUCGUCUUACUUUGCAUAUCCUGAUAACCUUACUCCAAGUAACUUGCGAAACCAAUUCCAAAUAGAUACUUUUAACAACUCCAAGACAGCUCCAACCCAACUCUCAAGUAACCUCCAAUUGUUAGUCCUUUGUGAAUUCUUUUAUUCCAAAGUGGACUAUACAUCAUACUUCAAGGCACCUAUUCCAAGUCAUCACUCUUGAUUAGCCCAAACCAACUAGAACAUCUCAAACUCAAGAUCAAUUUAAUAGUCCUAUAGAUUCUUACCGUCCAUGUAGAUGUCGCUACCUCCAAAUACAUACACUUCACUAUUCAAAGUUACAUCCAACCAUCUCUUCUCACAAGGACACUUACUUCCCCUUGACAUUGUGCAUCACAAUAGAUAGAAUACUCUAGUCUUGAUCUAGCAAAGAUGAGUCAUAAGUUUUGUUCCAAAAGUUUACCUAAGCUUUGUCCAAACACACUUAAUAUCUUCUCUAGUAAAAACAUCUGAGAGACUUGGAGAAAACCUUCCUUCAACCUCCCGUUGAUCAUCAACAUCCAAAAGAACUCUAAAACACACUCUUAUAUGUUUGAGUAGGUUUCAACUUAGCAUCUUUUUCCUGAGUUCUUCUACUUGUCACUCCACCAUUAGAGAUAUAAUGACCAAUAAAAGACCUCCUUCCAAACAAAACUCACACACCCGGCUAGGUGUAAGUAUUGAGGCUUCCUAAUUUAUCAUAGAUCUAAUUGUAGAGAAGUCAUAAAUGCUAACUUGUUUUGAGCUGAGGUUGCACUCCCAAGUGAUGUGAGUGCUUGAGGCAAUACCCAUUCAUGACAAACACCCAAGCUCCUUUUAGAUGAUCCAACAAGUGGUCAAUCUUGAGCAAAGAUACCGGCACUUGGUACUAACUUCUUAACCACAGAUAUAACUGAUUACUUCCAAGCGAAGCUCUAGAAUGGAUGAAACUUAAUUCUUGCAACCUCUAUAACUUGGCUACCCCCCUUAAGAGAAGAUUAACUAGGGGCACCCAGGAUAGCUUUAACCUUCUUCUAAAUGAGUUAACUUGUCAUGAAGACCUUCGAUAUCCAAGAGAUAGCUCGUGUGUGCAUAGGAAAGAUCAAGAAAUCUGAUAUUCCUUGAGAGCAGGAAAUCAACAGCACAGUAUAAAGCUAACAUACCUCGAGUUCAGGUAAUCCAAUUGAGUUGUAGCCUAUACCUUUGGAAAGCUUAUGAAAUUCUCUACAACUUUCCUAUAGAAUACUUUACCAGAUUCUGCCAUAAACCAGGUUGAAAACAGACACUAACCGAAACUACCCAGAAUUCCAGACAACUCAAAAACCUCAUCUUCAUACAGUUAUAUCUCACAGCUCGAAAUAGAUAUAAACAUGAUUCUUGAUCUAUUGGAAAGGUACUGAAGUCUAGUUAUUCUCAUAAAAAAUUCAUCCAACUAUCAUGACCAGACUUUGAGAUAAAUACGAAACAUCACAGGUUGCUCCAAAAAACAGCAACAGCAAGGAUAGACAAAAGAUAAAGCAAACCCACUAUGAUAUCAUUAACUUUAAACUUAAAAUCCUUAACCUUGGAACCUGUGGACAUGCCCACAAAGCUCCAGCACACAAGCAAAAAUCCAAAUCACAAAUUGUUCAUAACAACUCAAAUGACACAAAAGUUUCAUACCACACUUAUUAGGAUAGACUCAACUUGACUCAAACGCAACUAACGCCUUAUUCAACUGGAUGGGGCUCAAAACCUAUGGCAUGUACCAAGGUGGAAGAAUGUUGUAGAUCUUUGAUCGUCCUAGCUGCACCCUUAGGCAAUCAACUUGGUUUUGGAGCCUCUUGAUGAUUCGCUCUUGACUUGCCAACAUGCUUCCCAUGCGCAUAUCCUUCCUCAUCAUGUCACGAGCAAAUCCCACAUUCAACUUGGUAAUGAAGUCUUCACCCGAAGGCUCCUUGAUUGCCCAACCCAUGGUAGGACGAGCGUAAGGAAGAUAAUGAUCAUUGCGGUGGCUGGCACAUACGAUAUGGCGACGACGUCCCCGAAGAUUGAGCCAUGCUUCCAAAGCAGCGUCAUCCAUGCUAUGCUCCAUAGUAGCACGGACGCCCGGAUGCGUGAAGCUUGACUCAACCAACCAUGAAUCCGUCAUGAAGUCCCGGGUGAGGAGUGUCACGGUAGCUCUCCAAUGUGUGGGUUCCAGUGGGUGUGAGAAGCGAUGGCAGACAUACUCCACCCUCACAAUCCCCCAAUCCAUGUAGUCCUGGAGGAGAACUCCCUCCAAACGCAGGUGAGCUCUAGUGUGGCAGUCCAACGUGUGUUACUCCUUUACGGUCCACCCAAUGACAGGUUCCUCCUGCGCUAGUGAUGGCAUUUCCACUGAGUUGAACUGGGCAACGUACUGGGAGCUGGUCACGUGAUACAUCUACAGAAAUUAGACUUUGGUUAUUAUAGAAUCAAAAUUUUCAUAAUAGAGUAAGGGAUAGAAGCAUAAAAAUUUAGCAAAUAACAAAACUAUAGUAAAUAGCAUGAAUUAAGAGGAACAAGGGAAGCUAAAAACGACCAUUCUAACUAGGCUUGCGUCCUACAGUCAGCUAUGGCUUUGAUACCAAUUUUUCAUACUCAUUUUAAGAACAAAGCUGGAUAUAAUAUUACAUAUGUGCCCAGAGAUCCAUCACACAUAUGAUAGACAAAUUACUGGAGUAUCAAGCUCAUAACUUAUUACAUAAUCGUUUAAUCAUCCAUUACAUAAAUAGAAAAUCAAAGUCUGCGGAAACAAAAUAUAGAUAGCUAAACUCUCCGAUGAGGCACCAUUAUUGCCACAGGGAUACUGACUGGUUGACCAAGCUUAGUAGUUGUCAUUGAACUCAUCAAACACAUCAUAACCUGUUACCCAUCCGGGAUUUUCCAAAUAUGAAAUAUAAAGCAAGCGUAAGUACAUGUCGUACUCAACAAAUAUAACAUGGGGUGAAUGAGGCUCAAAAUGCUAGACACUGGUUAAACUGCGUUUAGCUUUUAUAAAUCAUGUCACGUUUAUUAAGCAUUAGCAUCAAGGUUCCCUUUACCCCAUGAUCAAGUUAACAUAAUCAUAAAACAACAUAAAUAUAACAUGAACAAGCAAUUAAAUGUGACCAACUAUUUCACAAAUGUCUCCAGGGCCGUUCAUAUCCGAGAACACGGCUGUUAUAACAGUUUUUAACUUUGCGCAGAGGUGUACACUUUCACUAUGGGUCAUGAUUCUCGAGUGUGAGGCCAACACAUUGACAACCAUAUAAAUUCUUUCAAAGGUCUGUCUAAUACGUCGAAGGCCUGCAGGUACAAACCCUUGACUUCCCCUAACCGGUAACCACCAACAAUAUUAGACAGGGUCCUUUAAUCAACUAGAGCCAGAGCCAUAUAGCCCCCAUAGCUGUACGGUAAAACCCGGAUGAUCACAAAUGAAACAGUCCUUAUGAAGAGCUAAGAGCAUCAAUAACAAAUAGAAGAACAUGGAUGCUCUUGCCCUUGAAUCAUGUUAACAAAAAAUAAACAUCAUCAUUAAUUAUGUUACGAGAUCAUGGUGUGUUUAAGCGCUAGCAAGAUACUACCCAAUGCAUAACCCAUAGGUGUGUCAAGGUAUAAGUAUUCAACAUCUAGGAUAUCCUUAAUUGUCGAUCAAGGUGGACACAUGCAUAAAUGAAUGUAAGUAUAAUUGUGAAUAGGACAACAAGGACAAACCCAUGCUAUACUUGCCUUGCUCAAAGUGGUCUUGCUGCUGCUCUUGGUCGUCGUCGUACUGCUGGUCACCCUCGUACUGCUCACCGUCUAUCGAUCGAUCAUCAUGAAGCAACACACAAACAUCCAUGCAAUCACACACGAUGCAAACAACAGUACGCAUCGCUACGAUCACAUAGACGCGAAAUUCACCGAAAUUGGAUCUAAAACGGCGAAGUUAUGAUUUAAACAAGGUUUACUUUUAGAGAAAUAAUAAAUUAAUAUAAACUUAAUUUUGAACAGAGGGAAACAUGGUUAACAGUAAGAUAAACAGAUAGUUUAUGAAAUUAGGAAUCCAAUGCAAGUUGAACGGAGCUAAUCGGAUUUAAAAUGCAAAAGUUAUAAGCAUUUG